rnacentral:tRNA from 1 species
GCAUCAGUAGUAUAGCGGUAGAAUACUCGCCUUCCAAGAUAUGAGAAAGCGAGUGGCCCGGGUUCAACUCCCGGCUGAUGCA